rnacentral:miRNA from 1 species
UGGGGGCGCGCUUUGCUUACG